AAAUAUAUUAGUGGAGCCAGUUUAGAGAAAAAGGGAAAACAAAAAAGCUUGAAACUAAUUUGUGUGGCGUAGAAUACAGAGCGAAGAGGAACGGAGAAACAAAUACUUCAGGUAAAAAGUUUUCCUUAGCCAACUAUAAUUUCUGUAAAAGUGCACAUAAGUAAUAUGAAUUGUUGGCGUGAAAGAAUAUAUUGAUAAUGUAUUAUUUUGUUGUCACUUGGUAUUGAGAAGUUUGAGAAAAUUUAGUAUAUUUAUUAGGUUGAAUGGGAUGGUUAUUUAGGUAAUAAUAAUCAUUAGACAAUGAUUACAUAAAUGAAAAUCAAUGCAGGUUUGGGGGUUUUGGUUUCCGUCUAUAGCGUAGUGCAGAAGGGGUUUUCUAAAAUCUCUCUUUUAUUACAUUAAAAUAAUGAUUUCAAAUAAAUGUCUAUGGUUUAGUUUUUUUAAAAGAAAAUUUAUAGAAGUAAAAAUGAUUUUCUACGAAUCUUAGCCCAAUCAUUGGGUAAUCAUGCCAAUGAUUGGCAUUGGUAGAUACUUUUAGAAAAUUAGGCAUUUUUGGUGUAACGUUGAAGACUUCCUGUGUUUUGCGUAGUGCUGUUAAUUAGUAGAAUUAAUUCUUAUUUUAAUUAUUUAUCACAUUAUGAUAUUAGUUUUGAUAUAUUGAGAUAGGUAAUUAAUUAUUAGGUGUAUAUUAUAUGAUGUAACAUUGAAUUUUUGGAUAUUUUUGAGAGAAUAAGGUUAAAUUCUUGGCUUGAAAUUAAGCAAAUAUGAUAAAUUUGGUAUAUAAAUUAUAUCAAGAUUUGGAGAUUGAUUUGAGAUAUGAUUGAGUUUUAGGGUCUAUGAUAGACAUAUAUUAAUUUGAAUGUCUACAAAUUCAUUUAUUUUCGAAUGUUGCAUAAUUGGUAGAUUGGGAAUGUUCCGAAACAUAGCAAAAAGAGAAGGAAGUAUCUUGAGAAUACGUGGCACGAGUUUGGCAUUUUAAGGUUUGUUAAUACUUUUAGACUUGUUGAAGGAUUUUUUCCUAAUUAAAGAUUAAAAAAUAAAAUAGGCAAAGGGGUAAGGGCGAAAGAUAGGGGUCUCGUAUCAAUGGUGCGACGGGCAUUGGUACGAGUAUUGGUGUUAUAAGGGGAAAGUUAUUACUAUAAAAUGCUAAAGCAUAUGGGCAUUAUUCAAUAUAUUAUUGACUUGAAUUCCUUGUGUGAUUGUGUUUUCUUUAUUACACCCGUAUAGUUGUGAUAAUUGAGAUGGUUAUGUAUUAUGUUAAUAUUUGACUGAUUGAGGUGUAUCAUCAUCCCCUUAUUUGAAAUAUAUUGUGCACACGCAUUGACAUGAGAUUGAGUAUAAGUUGGAUACGUGAAGAUCGUCCGAGUUGGGGAAGGUAAGAUGUAAAGAUUAUAAUUUGAGCACAUGAAGAUCGUUCGUGCAGAAUUUGUUUGAUGUUAUGAUAGUGCAUUGAGAUCAUCCGCACAGACUCUUGGAGAUCACCCAUGUCAUAUAUGGACCUCGCGAGUCCCCUAUGGUUCAUGAACUCUCGAUGUAUUUCUGAGAAGUAUCAUGUAUAUACAGUUGAAAGAAUACUGAGUAUUCUGAGGCAUAUCAUUUCAUCGUAUCAUAUUGCAUUGCAUUUCAACACAUCCUUCAUUCUUGAUGUUUAUGUACUUUAUUUGGUGCUUAAAAAGUACUUGAUGUUUGAUUACCUCUAUUUGAUGAAACUUGACUGGUAAGUGUAAUGUAGACUUGUAUAAUUAAAGAAUUGAUUUUUCUUAUAUAAACUCCCGUCAAUACUUCUUUGUUGUCGUUCAAUGAGAUAUACUGGGUACACAUGAUUUCGUAUUCAUACUACACUUGUUGCACUCUUUGUGAAGCAGAUUCGAUUCUGAGUACGAGCACAUCUCUGGAACGAUUUGAGUUCGAGUUUGAAGUGCUUUGGAGUUGUGGUGAGCUGCUUGGUUGUUCCGUGGCCCAAACCUCCCUCUAUAUUUUACUUAUUAUUUUAUUUAGUAUUCAGACAAGAUAUCUCUUAUGUUGGAUUGGUCAUUUUUUAGACUUGUAUUGUAUUUUAGAAAUUCUUGUACUUACGACACCAAUUCUUCGGUGGUAUUUUUAGCUUUCUGCAAAUCAUACCUAUAAAGAGCUUCAUGUUGGAGAUUUACACUUAGUGUUUACCUUUUUCUCACUAUUUAGUUAAAUUUAGUAAAUAUGUUGGGUUGGCU
rnacentral:lncRNA from 1 species